AAGACUAUAGCAUAACUGGCAAUGCAACCCGCUCAUAAUGGGUUUUAAAAAAGUUCGAAUCUUUUUAGUCUUA
rnacentral:tRNA from 2 species